rnacentral:misc_RNA from 1 species
AAGUCGUAACAAGGUUUCCGUAGGUGAACCUGCGGAAGGAUCAUUACAACAUAUGUGAUAUCAUCCACAUCCUACCGUCUUUUCGUGAACCGAUUUUCGAGCCGUUUGCGUCGUUGAGGUGGCACUGUCCAGGCGUCUUCUCUAGGGAACCCGAUGAGUGUCGGGAGGUUCCCGAGUCUGGGCGGUGCGUCCUCUUCCUUUUAUCAGGAGGAGGCCUCUGAUUGUAAACGCGUGUUACCCUUCCCCACUCUUAAACCAUUUAUUAUCACCUUGCACCUUAUCUCCAUAGAACUGACCUCUCUGGAAGGCUCGCUUCCCAGCGACCUUCUUGCAAGACUAUACGUAAAAGAGAAGAACAACUCUUAACAACGGAUAUCUUGGCUCUC